CCGCGGGGGGCGGGACAUGCGCUGGUCUGCGAGGCUGCACCCUCGCAGCUCUCUGCGCUGUGCCUGAGCUCUGGGCCUUUUCCGUUGUGAAAUGCAGUCCUGGGGCUCCUGGAGAGCCUUAGCGCUGCGCGAGCCCUGGGGGCAAGGCGUAGAGUGCUUCGAGCCGUGGAGAGAUGCGAAGGGAACUCCAGCAGGGGAAGUGGGGAGUGCUUUCCCCCACAAAGGUGGGAAAGCAGGUGUGGGGCGCGAAGAAUCUUUUAAACUAAUAUUCUUUAAAUGUCUAUUUGGAGGAGAGGCCAAGUCUGUGGAGAAGGCUGAAAGGGGACCAACCAGCCCAAACUUGCUAGAAGAAACAGUUCAGCCCAGGAAGCAUUGCUAAUGAAGGCCCUAACAAGUCGCGGGAGAGGCUACCAGCCCCAGCCUUUGGACAGCAUGACACGGAGGGCUGCAACAAGAUAUUUACCUGCACCCUCAAGGAUUACUCUGGGCCUGGAAACAGAGACCCAGAUGGAAGAGACUCACCACCAAGACAGUGGGAUCUGGGCCUGGGGUGGGGAAAGCUCCAGGACAGUGGAGUCCUAGAGGCCCAGCUCACAGCCAUGGAAUGAGAGAUAGGGAGGAGGAAUGAGUGGAGAGGGAUCAAGGGGAGGAGCAAGAGGAUGGAGUGAACAAGCAGGAUCCCUUGGCUGCCAUGUAGAGGAUGGAUUGUAGAGGAAAGAUGAGAGCCAGGGAGGAGGCUGGAGGCCCAUGAGAAGAGACAGAGAACAGAGACACAUGUGAGGUGGGGGUU